GACGAACGCUGGCGGCGUGCUUAACACAUGCAAGUCGAACGGUGAAGCGCCUUCCUUUUUGGUGGGUGUGGAUGAGUGGCGAACGGGUGAGUAACACGUGAGUAACCUGCCCCCUUCUUCUGGAUAACCGCAUGAAAGUGUGGCUAAUACGGGAUAUUCUGGGUCUGUCGCAUGAUGGGUCUGGGAAAGAUAUUGUUUCGGUGGGGGAUGGGCUCGCGGCCUAUCAGCUUGUUGGUGGGGUGAUAGCCUACCAAGGCGGUGACGGGUAGCCGGCCUGAGAGGGUGGACGGUCACACUGGGACUGAGACACGGCCCAGACUCCUACGGGAGGCAGCAGUGGGGAAUAUUGCACAAUGGGCGCAAGCCUGAUGCAGCGACGCCGCGUGAGGGAUGGAGGCCUUCGGGUUGUGAACCUCUUUCGCCAGUGAAGCAGGCCUGCCUCGUUUGUGGGUGGGUUGACGGUAGCUGGAUAAGAAGCGCCGGCUAACUACGUG
rnacentral:rRNA from 1 species